AGAAAUCGUGCGAAAAUGGGUGAAACUCGUGGGGGGGCAAUCUCGCUCGGGCGAACUAGCUGUUUUGCUCGUUGCAGCGCAUGCGCUGUGCUGUCUUUGAAUGUGUGCGUGCGUCAAAAGCGAGCAAAACGCCGCUGUGUCAAAAAAUGUGUAAACAAACUCAGUUGGAGUUCAGAAAAAUCUUACUUAUUACCGAUAUGUGCAGUGCCGUGGAAUAACAAAAAUUGCUUCAAAAAAGCUGUGUGUGUGGCUGAUACUCCAGCAUCUUCCCAAUAUGUGUAAACAACGCCAAGAGUAUUACUGUUUUGUGAUCAUCAUAUUUCAUUCGGAUUGCACAUUACCGGGCAGAAAAAGCUUCAAGCAACCAAUUUUGUACAGCAUCCGCACGCUGUAUGAAGGUGUAAAACAAAUUUUCAUCUGUAAGAUGCUCUUCAAACCUGUCCAGUGACUCUUCGUUGCUUAUAUUUUGCAUCGGGAUGGUUUGAGCAUGGCGUCGCACGCCUUUCAUCGGGUGUAUUGUGGCCACUACCGCAGCCGUUUGGGCAGUUCGGGCAUCCAGUUUUAAUAAUGAACAUUGUGAACCAAAAUCGUGCCCAGGACAAGUUCUUUUUGCUUGAAUUAACUCUGUGUUCUUAUUUACAUGAAUAGAUACGGUGGACCGAUGAAUGCUGCUUGCUGACGACUGCUCUUCGUGAAAUGUUGAUCCCGGUGAUGAAACACACGGUUCCGGUGUCAUGCUUGGUGACGGCUGAAGGGAUGCUUGAUGCACGACAGUCGUUUUUGCCGGUCGUGCAACGUCAUGCGCGCAUGAACCAGCAGCUGAAGCAACAGACGAUUUCGGCGUCGCACUUGUGGUCGGCUGCGAUCCUCGCAUUGGUUCGUCAAACGAUCCUAACGAUCACGGAAUGCCAUCCACGGAUCCAACAGCGGGAAUGACCGAUGGUACCGGCGUCGCACUUGUGGUCAGCUGCGAUCCAUGCGAACGCUUUAACGACAUUGUCGCUAGUGGAACAACACGCACGGAACUAGCAGGCACAAGAAUCAUCCCACGUAUCGCUUUCGUUCAGGGCUGCGAUCCUCGCUUUUGUUCCACCGAUCCUGCCGGUCGCGUAGCGAUAUCCAUGGAACCAACAUCGGGGGCAAGAGACGGUUCCGGCGUCGGUCUUGAUGACGUUCGCGGUCCAAAAACACGGACGAUCGCGCCUGUGGACCAUAAUACAGUCGAAGGCAGUUGUUGCAGUACAAAAAGGCGCCCUUUUUUUUGGUUGUUCCGACAUUACAUUUUGGCUGAAAUAAUCAAUCGUUUUAUUAUUUUUUAUGUGAAACUGCUGAGUUGAACUUGAAUGCUGCUUUGCGCUUUAAAAUCUCAAUGUUCAUGUUUUCAGCUGUGAAUUUCAAUAAAGGGUAACAAUCACA